GCCUACGGGAGGCAGCAGUGGGGAAUAUUGGGCAAUGGGCGCAAGCCUGACCCAGCAACGCCGCGUGAAGGAAGAAGGCUUUCGGGUUGUAAACUUCUUUUCUCAGGGACGAAGAAAGUGACGGUACCUGAGGAAUAAGCCACGGCUAACUACGUGCCAGCAGCCGCGGUAAUACGUAGGUGGCAAGCGUUAUCCGGAAUUACUGGGUGUAAAGGGAGCGUAGGCGGGGAUGCAAGUUGGGUGUCAAAACUAUCGGCUCAACCGAUAGUCGCACUCAAAACUGCAGCUCUUGAG
rnacentral:rRNA from 1 species